rnacentral:lncRNA from 1 species
GGAAAGCUGCAGAAGUCACCAAAGGAAGCAGGCUAGCGAGCAAAAGUCACCCCCAAAAGAAGAGGAGGGUCUCCUCGGGGCUCGUUUGGGGCAGCUAGGCGAGGGCGGUGGCUGCACAGCCCGGCGGAGAUAAUCGUCAUCUGCAUCUGGAAGCACAUCGAUUACUGGGUUUCCACUCCACCCUGUUGACAGCGCUAUUUGUUUCAUUCUAUACAAGGAUGUCCCCUGCACAAAGCCAGGUGCCCAGAUUCUUAGAAUGUAAUGGUGGCCCACGCUAUUCCUUUCAUCUUCCUACCCGAAAACAGAUACUGAACUUCCUGUCUGAGCUAGGAUUUUACUGCUGUGAUAAACACUACGAACGAUCAAAAGUAACUUGGGGAGAAAAGAGUUUAUGGCAUUCUACAGCCUGCAGUCCGUUAUCCUGGAAAGUCAGGCCAAGAAUGCCAGGCAGGAACCUGGAAGCAAGAACUAAGUGGAAGCCAUAGAAGAAUGCUGCUUCCAGGCUUGUUCCCCAUGCCUUGCUCAGACUUGCUUCUUUCUUCUACAACCUGGAUGUCUGUGAGGGUUACAUAGUAAAUUUUAAUCAAAGCAACACAAACAAAUGGUCACAAAAUAAAUCAUGCAAAAAUAUUUCCUUAAGAAACAACUGAACCCAGCUCCAUGGUGAUUGAACCCAACGUCAUUCCCCAAAGGCAUCUUUCUUUUAUUGUGUAAAUGGAGAGAGAAAUGAUGUAGUGUGAAAUGUACCUAUUUUAAGGGUAUUGUUGUGUGGACUGUGAUGUCGGCGCAGAGUCCUGUCACUCUCUCUGUUAAAAUGGAGCGUACUUGCAUCACUGAGAGAAGAUGGCUCAUGUGAUGACUCAGCUAAUUUUCUCACCCCUAUCCAGGAGGCACAUUAUGUAUGUAGUGUUGCAUGCUAGGCUAGCUUGCCUCUGGUAGAACAUAUAAACAUAUGAGUUUAAUCAUACUGUAUGUUCUCUUAGUUUCUUUCAUAUAGCAUGGAAUUGCAACUAUUUCUUAUUGGAGUCAUUUUCAGUUUGCUCCUCAUUACAGUAUUUAGUUUCCUGUUUUGCUUAGUAAUUAUACUGUGGGAACAUUUCAAUUAGUGCCUAUUCAUAUUAUAAUUUCUCUAUUUGCUUGAUGAUAGACAUGUAAGUUUUUCCCUGUUUAGCCCUACUGGGAUUUUGAUUGAAAUUUCAAUGAAUUUGUAGACAGUUUAGAAGAGUGGCUGUCUCAUCAGUACUUGAUAUUUGAAUCAGUGAGACACCGAACAACUUUGAUUAAGUCUUUGUUAAUUUCUUUUAGUAAUAUAAUCGUUAAUAGUUUGUUAAGUUUAUCGUAUGUAUUUUGAGAUCCUUUGAGGCUGUGGAGAAUAGUAUUAUUAUUUCUAUUUUCCUUCUUUUGUUC